UACGUAGGGUGCAAGCGUUAAUCGGAAUUACUGGGCGUAAAGCGUGCGCAGGCGGUUUUUUAAGCUUGAUGUGAAAUCCCCGGGCUUAACCUGGGAACUGCAUCCAAAACUGGCAAGCUAGAGUAUGGUAGAGGGUGGUGGAAUUUCCUGUGUAGCGGUGAAAUGCGUAGAUAUAGGAAGGAACACCAGUGGCGAAGGCGACCACCUGGACUGAUACUGACACUGAGGUGCGAAAGCGUGGGGAGCAAACAGG
rnacentral:rRNA from 1 species